GCCGGGAUAGCUCAGGGGUAGAGCGCAUCCUUGGUAAGGAUGAGGUCGUGAGUUCAAAUCUCAUUCCUGGCUCGA
rnacentral:tRNA from 1 species